UACAGAGGAUGCAAGCGUUAUCCGGAAUGAUUGGGCGUAAAGCGUCUGUAGGUGGCUUUUAAGUCCGCCGUCAAAUCCCAGGGCUCAACUCUGGACAGGCGGUGGAAACUACCAAGCUGGAGUACGGUAGGGCAGAGGGAAUUUCCGGUGGAGCGGUGGAAAUGCGUAGAGGAUCGGAAAGAACACCAACGGCGAAAGCACUCUGCUGGGCCGACACUGACACUGAGAGACGAAGCUAGGGGAGCGAAUGG
rnacentral:rRNA from 1 species